rnacentral:rRNA from 1 species
UAGAUACCCUGGUAGUCCACGCUGCAAACGCUGUCGAUUUGGGGAUUGGGCUUUAAGCUUGGUGCCCGUAGCUAACGUGAUAAAUCGACCGCCUGGGGAGUACGGCCGCAAGGUUAAAACUCAAAUGAAUUGACGGGGGCCCGCACAAGCGGUGGAGCAUGUGGUUUAAUUCGAUGCAACGCGAAGAACCUUACCUACUCUUGACAUCCAACGAAUCCGAUAGAGAUAUUGGAGUGCCUUCGGGAACGUU